GAAGUUCACGUUUUGUGCCUUGCAGGCACGG
rnacentral:sRNA from 1 species